rnacentral:rRNA from 1 species
UACGUAGGGGGCAAGCGUUGUCCGGAUUCAUUGGGCGUAAAGAGCGUGUAGGCGGCCAGACAGGUCCGUUGUGAAAACUGGAGGCUUAACCUCCAGACGUCGACGGAAACCGCGCGGCUAGAGUCCGGAAGAGGAGAGUGGAAUUCCGUGGUGUAGCGGUGAAAUGCGUAGAUAUCGAGAGGAACACCUGCGGCGAAGGCGGGUUGCUGGGCUGACACUGACGCUGAUGCGCGAAAGCUAGGGGAGCGAACGGG